rnacentral:rRNA from 1 species
UAAACGAUGUCUACUUGAAGGUUGUGGCCUUGAGCCGUGGCUUUCGGAGCUAACGCGUUAAGUAGACCGCCUGGGGAGUACGGUCGCAAGAUUAAAACUCAAAUGAAUUGACGGGGGCCCGCACAAGCGGUGGAGCAUGUGGUUUAAUUCGAUGCAACGCGAAGAACCUUACCUACUCUUGACAUCCAGAGAAUUCGCUAGAGAUAGCUUAGUGCCUUCGGGAACUCUGAGACAGGUGCUGCAUGGCUGUCGUCAGCUCGUGUUGUGAAAUGUUGGGUUAAGUCCCGCAACGAGCGCAACCCUUAUCCUUGUUUGCCAGCACGUAAUGGUGGGAACUCCAGGGAGACUGCCGGUGAUAAACCGGAGGAAGGUGGGGACGACGUCAAGUCAUCAUGGCCCUUACGAGUAGGGCUACACACGUGCUACAAUGGCGUAUACAGAGGGCUGCCAACCAGCGAUGGUGAGCGAAUCCCACAAAGUACGUCG